rnacentral:snoRNA from 1 species
AUCCUUUUGUAGCUCAUAAGCGUGGUGGUCACGUGACGCACAUAUGUGAGAUGUGCUUCCCACAAACCUUGUUACGACUUUGGCCCAUCUGACAUUACCCAUGUGAUG